UAAGACGUAGGGCGCGAGCGUUGUCCGGAUUUAUUGGGCGUAAAGAGCUCGUAGGCGGCUCAUUGCGUCAACCGUGAAAUCCUGCUGCUCAACGGCAGGUCUGCGGUUGAUACGGGUGGGCUGGAGUUCGGUAGGGGAGACUGGAAUUCCUGGUGUAGCGGUGAAAUGCGCAGAUAUCAGGAGGAACACCGGUGGCGAAGGCGGGUCUCUGGGCCGAUACUGACGCUGAGGAGCGAAAGCGUGGGGAGCGAACAGGAUUAGAUACCCUGGUAGUCCACGCUGUAAACGUUGGGCGCUAGGUGUGGGGGGCCUCUCCGGUUUCCUGCGCCGUAGCUAACGCAUUAAGCGCCCCGCCUGGGGAGUACGGCCGCAAGGCUA
rnacentral:rRNA from 1 species